GUCUCAAGUGGCGGAAGAAGAAAACGAUGAUGCUCUUUUAUUUCCUCCUGGUUCUCAGAGCGGGGCGAUGCACAGAUGAUCUGAUCUUCGAGACAAAGACUGUUGGACAAAGUGUGACUCUGACUUGUGCUCGCAAUGACUCUCUGAACAGGGGAACCUUGUUCUGGAUGAGGCUUGUUUCUGGAAACGUACCUGAGUUCUUUAAAGGAACCUUUGCUUUUGACUAUGAUGGUGACAAUACGAAUCGUCACAUCACUACAAAACAAGAGCCGGGAACAUUUCUGCUGCAUAUUCAUCAAGCGACGCAGAGCGACACUGGAGUUUACUGCUGUUUAGAAAUAAACACACUCUAUGUGAAACUUAAGAAAUGGACAUUUCUGAGAAUUAAAGGACCAGAAGCCGAUGUCUCUGUAAUCACUAACAGCGUUCCAUCCCAUCCGGUCCGUCCAGGAGACUCAGUGACUCUGCAGUGUUCCGUCCUCUCCGUCUCUGAGGAGACGGCAUGUCCAGAAGGACAGAAGGUGUUCUGGUUGAAAGCCGGCUCGGAUCGAUCUCCUCCACAUGUGAUUUAUGUGCAUGGAAACAGGGACGGAUGUGAGCAGAGUCCUGAGGGUCUCCCUCCACACAGAUGUGUCUACAGCUUCUCUAAGAACAUCAGCUCCUCUGACGCCGGCACGUAUUACUGCGCCGCGGCCACAUGUGGACAGAUGCUGUUUGGAAACGGCACAAAGGUGGAAACUGAAGGUAACGUUUGCCUUUAAGUGAAUAACGAUUGUAUCACAAAGUGAGUGCACAUGAUGCCUGACUUAUUAAAAAUAGAUUGUUAGCUGAUU